AGAGAGAGAGAAAUAGAGAAAGAAAAAGAGAGAGAGAGAGAGAGUGUGUCCCCCGGUGGUGGGAGAGGGGAAAAAAUGCCUAUGGCACCUGGUAUUCCCAGGCGGUCUCCCAUCCAAGUAC